rnacentral:rRNA from 1 species
UACGUAGGUGGCGAGCGUUGUCCGGAUUUACUGGGCGUAAAGCGUGCGCAGGCGGCUGCUCAAGUCAGGGGUGAAAGCCCAGAGCUCAACUCUGGAAUUGCCUUUGAGACUGAGUGGCUUGAGUACGGGAGAGGUGAGUGGAAUUCCCAGUGUAGAGGUGAAAUUCGUAGAUAUUGGGAAGAACACCGGUGGCGAAGGCGGCUCACUGGCCCGUAACUGACGCUCAUGCACGACAGCGUGGGGAUCAAACAGG